UAUAUGUCUUUGUGUUUGAGUCUCUUAUCACUUUUCUGCAGGAAUUCACGGCCAGGCCUAACAUCAACUGAAGUCUCCAGGAAGAAGUUGGGGCCCCACAACAACAACAAUUCCACGUGGACAAUAAUAACAUCACUAAGCUGACAAACAUCAUCUACAGAUCAGCUUUGAACUACAAGACAUAUCGGCUCCUGGCAGUACCAAUCUACUUCAGAGAAAAUAUGGGCAUUGAAGAAACUGCGUAUGGAGUUAGCUUUCAUUGUGGCAAAAGUUAGCCACUGGACAACAAAGUAUCCUUGAAUCAACUGAUGACAAAAUGGACAGACAGGACAUGAAACAAAGGACUACUGAUUCUUGCCUAAACAAGCGUGGUUAUGGCUUUAUCAAAAGGCAUCUUCUGAGGCCAGGACAAUAUGGCACCAUCCCUGACGUGGCCUUUGCAACUCGGAAAAGGUACAGUGCCCUUUUCUUCGAAGGCAGCUGAACAGGCAGUGGGCCGAUGGCUUCUGAUGUGCUAUGGAACAGCAGCUAAAACAGUUAUUCU